GAUGAACGCUGGCGGCGUGCCUAAUACAUGCAAGUCGAGCGAACGGACGAGAAGCUUGCUUCUCUGAUGUUAGCGGCGGACGGGUGAGUAACACGUGGAUAACCUACCUAUAAGACUGGGAUAACUUCGGGAAACCGGAGCUAAUACCGGAUAAUAUUUUGAACCGCAUGGUUCAAAAGUGAAAGACGGUCUUGCUGUCACUUAUAGAUGGAUCCGCGCUGCAUUAGCUAGUUGGUAAGGUAAAGGCUUACCAAGGCAACGAUGAAUAGCCGACCUGAGAGGGCACUCGUCAACAUGAGAGUUAAGAUGCGGGACAGACACAGACGAGAGGCAGAAGGUAGAAUCUAUCGGAAAGGGGCGAAGCCAUGGAGGAAGACGGAGGGCGGAGACGGCGAGUAUUUCGAAUGGGAAAACUCCGUUAUUAGGAAAAGUUAUAAUGGUAAUAAAAUGUCCAAUCUUAGCCGGAACGAAGCCAAAAAGCCACGGCUAAUGCGGU
rnacentral:rRNA from 1 species